CUGUCGCUGUCUCUCACUCUCGCUGUCUCUCCCACUCUCGAUGUCUCUCUCUCACUCUUUCUGGUUUGCUGAGUGUUUCUGAUGCACACAGCAGUUUGCUUUCUGUUCACACACAGUCAGGGUUGGAGUAAAAGUAUGGGUGAGGAAAGAACAGAGCAAUAUACAAAUACAUUCCUCUACAUUCCGGAAUACAUUCCGUUUCGACCAGAAGCGGUGCCUCCGCUUGACAACUCUUCACUGCUAAAGGUUGUCCGCUUUGUGGGCGUAGGCGUGAACCUAUAGAGAAUAUGGAGAGCUGCAAAAGCCUGUCUGUAGAUGAAGAGGUCCCAGUGAAUGUCCCAAGAGACUGCUGGCAUAUCCUUAUAUGCCAUGAGUUGUAUGUGUACUUAUGUUAGUAAAUGUUUUAUACAACAUUACAGUUAAAAGUCACACAUAAUGUAGGCUACAAACGUAUUACAACUGUAGCAGGCCAAUCCUUCUCCCAGAGGUCUGCUGGGUGUGCAGGCUUCUGUUCCAGAUCAGCACUAACACUCCCGAUUCAACUUAUCAAACCUAAUGAGUUGAUAAUAAUGUGUAUUAUUUCUGUGCUGGAAUAGAAGUCUGCUCACUCAGUAGAUCAGGAAGUGGAACAAGGUUGGCCACCUCUGGUAGGGACUGUCGUGACGUGGCUAUCAUUGAUGCUGUUAUUUUAAUAAAUCAAUUAACUAUGUUUAAUUAUUAGACAUGAUUAAAUGAAUCAGGUAACAAUUAACUCAUUAGCAAUCUUGGGGCACCACGGGAAAAGUUAGUUUAAUGACUUAGCGUUUCCCGAAUUAAGAAUCAGAAUAUAUAUCAGAAUAUAUCGUUUUCAUACCAGUCAUCCAUUAAUCAUUAUUACCUCAUAUCAGUUUCAUUCUGAAAGUCGUUGACUUCAUAUAUCUGCACAAACCCUUGUCUAAAUGAUGAUUCACCGAUACACAAAUUGGCUUAAUUAUUUAUUUACUAACUAACUAAAGAAUCACACAGAAAUACACAGAGUGGGCUUAUUGUACAUACAUGUGGAAAAUACGCUCAUCGUAAAUAUGGAUAUUUAGCACCCUAACAACCACUCAUUCGGAUGGAUUUAGAAAUGCAACACAUAUUUACACUUGUAUGUCUUUGUUGUCUCUUUUGAAAUCUAUCUAUGGGGAGUCAGUUUGACAGAGGUCUCUGAUUUGUCCACCAGAGGUCACUAUGUCCUUUGUAGUUGUAGUAGUAGGCUUCUUUGUCUCGGAGUGUUCAUUAGACAAGAUCCUUCAGAGGUGGUCUUUGGUCGAGUUUACUAGACUAAAGUACAUAAACAGCUGCAGACUGAACGUUCCUGUGUAGUCUAGAGAGUUUCUAUCAAUUUCGUGACAUUCAGCUCACGCUGUCGGUCACGCUGGUCUGUAUUGAAAUUGCAACCAUUUCAGCGUAUUCAGCUCGCGCUGCACGUAUACCUGUUUAAUAUGUUAAUUCUUCAGCGAGUCCUUUUAUGCACUCGCCUUGGAGGGCGGUUCCAUCACGUUGCCACAAUGUCUGUGCUCACGUUGCCGUGGUUACUGACUUGGCAAAAGUUUAAAUGAAAAACAGUUAUCUAAUUAAGAAGGCUAAAAUCAUGUUUAAUCUUAUCACAAAUGGUUUCAAAUUUAAUCAUAUAAAAUUACAACAUUUAGAUGUAAAUCUGAUAACUGGGAUGUAUACAUUUGUAGAGUUACCAUUAUCUUGUAAUACCAUCCUUAAUGACCUUACAAAACAAUAUACUUUUGCCAUAAUUAUUGUUUGGAUCCCCACAAACCAUUUCCCAUAUUUUUUAUGUUACAAAUAUUGUUUCAUUAUCCACUGUUGGAUGUUAGAGUUUUGGCGUCCGAUUCUCUCUCUACACACAUCAUAUUCCUUUGUUCAAUGCUGCCGGGCCAGAGAGAGAAAGUUUACGACUGGUCGUUAAAGUUAUAAAACUGGCCCACUUCCCCCCUUCCUCUCUAGUGGGAGAGGGGGGGGGGGGGCUCUCUUUUAUCCUCACCCUGGAAGGAAAAUCAUGACAGGACUUUUUUGUUCACCUAGAAAUGAUGCUUUAGUAAUAGUAGCUUACUUACUAAGAUGUCUGACAUUUAUAAACAAGUUAGAUUAUUUGUACAUUUUGAAAUUAUAUUUAGAUUAAUUUAUGUUGAUUAAUUGAAGUUAAGUUUUUAAACUUGUUUUAAUUGUUAACUUAAAAACAAUAUUUAAGAAGAACUUGUGUCAACGUUCAUUCAUUUUGCAAUAAAAAGGUGUGAAGGG